AGAGUUUGAUUCUGGCUCAGAACGAACGUUAGCGGCGCGCCUAACACAUGCAAGUCGCACGAGAAAGGGCUUCUGCCCCGGUACAGUGGCGCACGGGUGAGUAACACGUAGAUAAUCUUCCCUCGGGUGGUGGAUAACUCUCCGAAAGGAGAGCUAAUACAGCAUGAGACCACGGCUCCCCUGGAGCUGCGGCCAAAGCAGGCCUCUAUACGUAAGCUUGCGCCUGAGGAUGAGUCUGCGGCCCAUCAGCUAGUUGGUAGGGUAAUGGCCUACCAAGGCUAAGACGGGUAGCUGGUCUGAGAGGAUGAACAGCCACACUGGAACUGAGACACGGUCCAGACUCCUACGGGAGGCAGCAGUGGGAAUCUUGCGCAAUGGGCGAAAGCCUGACGCAGCGACGCCGCGUGAGCGAUAAGGCCUUCGGGUUGUAAAGCUCUGUGGGGAGGAAAGAAUAAGGGUUGGCUAAUAUCCAGCUCGAUGACGGUACCUCCUUAGCAAGCACCGGCUAACUCUGUGCCAGCAGCCGCGGUAAGACAGAGGGUGCAAACGUUGUUCGGAAUUACUGGGCGUAAAGCGCGUGUAGGCGGCUCUGUAAGUCAGAUGUGAAAUCCCACGGCUCAACCAUGGAAGUGCAUUCGAAACUACAGGGCUAGAGUUCUGGAGAGGAAGGUGGAAUGCUUGGUGUAGAGGUGAAAUUCGUAGAUAUCAAGCGGAACACCGGUGGCGAAGGCGGCCUUCUGGACAGUAACUGACGCUGAGACGCGAAAGCGUGGGGGGCAAACAGGAUAGAUACCCUGGUAGUCCACGCCGUAAACGAUGAGUGCUAGGUGUCACGGGCUUUGACCCUCGUGGUGCCGAAGCUAACGCGUUAAGCACUCCGCCUGGGGAGUACGGCCGCAAGGCUAAAACUCAAAGGAAUUGACGGGGGCCCGCACAAGCAGCGGAGCAUGUGGUUUAAUUCGACGCAACGCGAAGAACCUUACCUGGGCUUGACAUGUCAGUGACCGCCGUGGAAACACGGUUUUCCUUCGGGACACUGUCACAGGUGGUGCAUGGCUGUCGUCAGCUCGUGUCGUGAGAUGUUGGGUUAAGUCCCGCAACGAGCGCAACCCCCGUCCUAUGUUGCCAUCAUUUAGUUGGGGACUCAUAGGAGACUGCCGGUGACAAACCGGAGGAAGGUGGGGAUGACGUCAAGUCAUCAUGCCCCUUAUGUCCAGGGCUACACACGUGCUACAUUGGCGCAUACAAAGGGCAGCAAUACCGCGAGGUGGAGCGAAUCCCAUAAAGUGCGCCUCGGUUCGGAUUGGAGGCUGAAACUCGCCUCCAUGAAGGUGGAGUUGCUAGUAAUCGCAGAUCAGCAAUGCUGCGGUGAAUACGUUCCCGGGCCUUGUACACACCGCCCGUCACACCACGAAAGCGAGCAACACCCGAAGCCGGUGGCCUAACCGCAAGGAGGGAGCCGUCGAAGGUGGGGCCCGUGAUUGGGGUGAAGUCGUAACAAGGUA
rnacentral:rRNA from 1 species